GUAGUGCGAGCUGUCCUUCGCCGGUGGUGCAAGCCAGACGCUGAAGCACAGCGGGCCUUGACCCAGUCUGUGUGCACUUGUCUGUGAGCUUCGUAUGCAUAAGCGCCAUGAGGCCUGUCGGGUUGUCGUCCCGUAGCUGUGGUCUGGUCCUGCGCCGAAGGAAGCCAGCGUUAGGAUGAUUUGCUUUUCUUGGAGCUAAAAACCGAAAGAAACUCUCUUCCCCGGGUGGUUUCUGUAGCAGCAAAGCACUCCAGCAUUUCCCGGUCGGGAAAGGAAUCUGGGUGGUGUGGCCAUUUUUCACACGUGGAAACUGAGGCCUAUUAGGGCGUGGCCACGAGGGCCUCUGAGAAUCUGGCGAGCUCCCCUGCUUUCUCCCCGAUGAUCAGCGAUCCCCCGCAAGGGUUACUACCGAGCGUCUUGACAGGUCUAGCAGCCUUGUCGUACUUUGAGGUUGCCAUAGCAUUUUUCUGAUUACCAUGGCAGGAAGUGCAGUUCUGAGCAGACCAGAAAAAAAAAUUGGCUCCCAUGUCUUUUUUCUUUCCCCAACACAGACUGGCUUCUAAAACCUAAAGCAACUGUGAACUAUUCCUUCCCUUACGGUGAAUCCCGUUCUAGUACACAGUCUCGCCCUUGGGGAAGGGAAUGUGUGGAUCACCGAAAAUUGACUGUUCUUCUCUAGAGGGUUACUGUCUGAGUUUCGGUCGCUGUAAAGUCUGCCUGUAGGAUAAAAUACCCUAAGGUGUGGCUACCUCGGACCUCAGGGAAUCAGACCUGGCGAUUGGGGGCACUGGGGGCGGAGUGGGUAUUCCUGGAGGCAAGUGGGAUUGCGCCCCAGAAGAGGAGAAGGGCAGGAUACCAGUCAAGACCGCUGCAAUUUGGGUGCUGGGCAUGCUAUGUACCUACACCUCCAGUUUUUAAACCGAAAGACUUCUUUGUGCAAGGUAGGUUGAUCUCCCAGCUGCAUUAGACACUUGGCUGCCUCUGACUUAAACCACCCUCUACCAGAGCACCCAAAGCGAUGAAAUUUUUCAAAAUAAUGUCAACAAAAUCAAAGUCUAUGCUCCAACAAAUUUUCAAGAGUUAGAAAGUAUUUAAUCCUUGACAACCUAAUCUACAACUUUCUUAAUAUUAUUCUAUCAAGUUUUUAUUAUUCCAUUUCAGUGAUGAGCAACAUCAGAAAACAAAUCGGGCCUGGCUUUACAGUGAGAUUUGAAGAAUCUUACUAACUACGGAGGCGCCUGAGCUAAAAAGGCCCUUGGUAGAGUGUGUACUGAAAACAUAUGUCAUGGAAAAACAAGGGGAGAAGAAUCUAGUGGGAAUAAAGUAGACAAAUAAA
rnacentral:lncRNA from 1 species